rnacentral:rRNA from 1 species
UACGUAGGGUGCGAGCGUUAUCCGGAAUUACUGGGUUUAAAGGGUGCGUAGGCGGCUAUGUAAGUCAGGAGUGAAAGUUUGCGGCUCAACCGUAAAAUUGCUUUUGAUACUGCAUGGCUGGAAUUAGGAUGAGGUCAGCGGAAUGUGGCAUGUAGCGGUGAAAUGCAUAGAUAUGCCAUAGAACACCAAUUGCGAAGGCAGCUGGCUAGACCUGGAUUGACGCUGAGGCACGAAAGCGUGGGGAGCGAACAGG